rnacentral:lncRNA from 1 species
CUGUUUAACACAAAACUAAUGUUUCUAAAAAUAAAUACAGUUAGCUCUAAUGUGCUAUCAGACCAAUGAAUUGCAGCUACGUGCUCCCCACUAUUCUCUCUGCUUGGGCUAGUUAUGGAGAGGUCUUAUGGACAACAAAUGCAGAAAGUAAUCACAUAGAAAAGAAGAGUCAGAACUGUUUCAUUCACCAAAUAAAAAUGACUGUUGUUGACCUAGAUUUUUUCCCUUGCUCAUUCAACAAGAAAAUUCAUUAUGUCACAACUCUGUCAUUCUCUCGUUCUACACUCUAGUUGCUCAACAAAUUCCACGGUAAUUUGCUGA